rnacentral:snoRNA from 1 species
GACGUCCCAGAAUUACAUCUGUAGAAUGGCUAGUAUUCUACCAGCUUCAGAGAUAGGAGGGAAAGCAAGCCUGGCAAAGAUGCCCAUUCCAUUCCCAGUUUACUCAGUAGCUGGUAAAUGGAAGAUAAUCUGCGACAGUG